UACCAGCACCCCCGAGUUGUCGGGACGAUUAUUGGGCCUAAAGCAUCCGUAGCCUGUUCUGCAAGUCCUCCGUUAAAUCCACCCGCUUAACGGAUGGGCUGCGGGGGGAUACUGCAGAGCUAGGAGGCGGGAGAGGCAAACGGUACUCAGUGGGUAGGGGGUAAAAAUCCAUUGAUCUACUGAAGACCACCAGUGGCGAAGGCGGUUUGCCAGAACGCGCUCGACGGUGGGAGGAUGAAAGCUGGGGGGAGCAAACCGG
rnacentral:rRNA from 1 species